CGCGGGCCACGUGCGCCCGGGAGUACUUAGCGUGGCAGGCGGCCCGCGGGCGGUGGUGGAGACCCUCUGUGGGCAGGGCCUUGUGCUGGGACGACCAUCCCUCAGUCGCAGGGGCGCCCGGUGGCUUUCAGCUUUGAAUUCAGAGACUAUUGACGCCCCAGGCGGGGCCGGCGUCUCCAGACCAGGCCACGGGGCUGCAGAGAGAAGAACACGCCUGCUUUUGCCGCGGAUCGCGAGCGCUCGGGCGCAAAGACCCAGAGUGAGGUGGGGUUUAUUAAAUGAUGAAUUACAUCGAUUUUUGAAUGUUAAACCAACCUUGCAUUCCUGGGAUAAACCUCACUUGGUCCUGCUUUUUCUUUACCUGAAAAUGAUUCCUGACCGAGUGAAUUGCCCUUUGCUUUAAAAGCAACCCCAUCACUCACUCGAAGAUGUUAGUGCAGAGCUGCAUCUGAAUCUAAACCAGACUGCGUUAAAUCACUGUGUGUGUACCUCACGGCGACUGGCAAACACAACCGUCGUUCUGGGGACAGCCACUUGAACUAGGGCAGUGGCAUUAAAUCUUCGCCUCACUCAAGUAUGGCCAUUCCGUGGUUUCGUUUACAGCUGACACGUCAAAGACAUUAUAAGGAAGAAGAUGAAACUCAAAGGUAAGAUUUAUAAACAUAGGCUCCCUGCUCUUAGAUUAAGUGUCCCUGAAGACUUCAACCUAAAGUGGAUCUCUGUAAGCAGAAUCCUGAUCAGGCACAUGCGGAUGUCUUCUGUUUGGAUACCAGUGGGAACUGUUAAGUGACUAUGUAAAUCUGACGAUAGUGAAGCACAAGCAUUUAUUUGAUAGCGUUGAAUGGGGGGAGGUGCAAAAUGUGAAGCAGUAACAAAUGAAAACUGCCUGUCGAUGUGAAGGAAAGGCAAAGAUAUAUUCAGGCAUGCAUCGAAGUAUUAAAAUGUAAGUGCACUGUAGAAACACUACAGACUGUGGGGCCUGGAUUCCAAUCCUGUCUGUGACAAUUAUAGUUGCGUAAACUUGGGGAAGUGACUUCCUCUUCAUUUCUUAGUUCCUACAGUACUACUUCAUAGGGUUGUUGCAAGAAUUAAAUGAAAUAAUAUGUUCAAAGCACUUAGAACAGUGUCUGGAUAUAAUGAGCUCAAUAUGAUGUUAGUUAUUGGUACCAUCAUCAUCAUCAUUGCUGUUUCUAGAAUUGCAUGUGCAAGGGCAGAAAGGAAUAUCGAAUGUGCAGAGCAUCAACAGAGAAGGUCUCCUUGAGAAGGGAGAAUCUGAACUGAGCUCUAAGCAUAGAAAGACCUCAAAACAAUGGAAAUGGGCGGUAGGAAACAGGUAGAUUCCGAGUGUAGGAAAGAGAAUGAGCCAAAGUACAAAGAAAAAAGUUUGAGGUAUGGGAAGGUCUAGCUGGUGUGUAUGGUGUUGCUGGGCAGUAGAGAGUGAUAAUGCUGGAAGGGGAAAAAAUCACAAGGUUUGGCAAUUGUUUAGAUGUGGCAAAUGAGGGUGUCAUGUAUAACCCAAAUAUAUGCUGGAAUUCAUAUGGCCCAGUCUCAAAGCAAUGAUGAACUGAAAAAACAGUCUAGCAACCAACGCUAUUUUAAAAUGAAAUCAAAAUUUUGCUUGCCAGUCUCCAAGAACAUCAAAAAGCAUGCAAUUCAUAAGCUUUAGGAACAAUUCCUAAACUUCCCUUUCCUCUCCUCAGUAAUUCUUACAUCUUGCCAGCUCUGGAGCUUCUCCUUCUCUUAACCUCCCCUUUUCCAUUUCUUCUGUCCUGAAACUCUCUCAGCAGCCUUAGGGCAUGAGGCCCUCAUCUUUUGUUCCCCUCCUCCUUUCCUUCUGCCUUUUCAGUCUUGUCUCUGUUUAUCCAUGCUCCUGAUUUUGAAUCACGAAGCCCAGGGACCAUCCUGAAAGAGGCAGAACUCUCCUUAGAAGGUAGGCUGAGCAAAGCUGUCAAAGACAAUAUCUUCUCCAUGGACAGUGGUAGAGAGAUUUACGUUGUGGCAGAGAGGUUAUGUAUUAACACUCUUAUGUUAAUACGUUUUUUAAGUCAUCAAAGAUAACAGUAAGGUUUUGAGCCUUGGUGAUAGAAUAAUGGAGGGUGUAUCAUUACAGAAAUAGGGAAGCCAAGGAUGGAAGAGCUUGGGAAGAUGUUGAGUUUGGAACAGUACAUAUAUUAGAGCUACAGCAUCAUUCCAGGUGUAGGUAGACAAAAGGAAGCUGGAUAAAGAGAUCAGGGAUUUAGACGGAUUUGGGUAUCAUCCCACAGAAGUGAUAGUUGAAGAUGUGGAAGUGCAUAAGAAAAGAAAUAUAAAGAAAACAUAGAGAAAGGUGAGCAUUAAGGACAGAACUUUAGAAAAUACUUACAUUUCAGGAUAGGAAUUGACAAGAGAAUUUAGGAAAGAAGAGAGAAAUCCUGGUGUCCAGGCCUCACCCAGACCAUUCCAUCAAAAUCUCUGGAGGUGGGAUUCAUGCAUUAACAUUCUUGACAGCUUCCCACUGAUUCCCUGUGGAGCCAAGUUGAAAACCUUGUGGCUUAUGUGAUGCCUGAUGGUUUUUAGGGUUGUAUGGAAAGCAGUUGUUAGGGAAUAAAGUUCUAGUUUACUGGAUUUAAAAAUCAGAAAAUCUAACAUUCUCGUUUUGCUGAGGAACCCGGGGCUCAAAGAGAUUAAUUAAUUUUGUGACCUUAAACAAGAAAUUUAAUGAAUUUCCAAACUCCUACUUACCUCUCACUGUCAUAAACAUGAUCUCCUCUCCCUCGUCUUCUCUCACCCCACUCCUCCUCAUCCUAGCCCAAGCCCUCUGCUACCCCUGCUCCGACUCUUCCUGUCUCUCCUUCUAUGGCUGUGCAAUCCAUCCAAAGGCUCUUGGUUCAGAUUUUAGAACGCUACAUUUCUGCCUGGUUAAAAGGCUCACUUGAGGUACCUCCAGCAGCGGCAGACCAGACCAGACCACACUGUCGGAGGAAAACCCUUCGAGGGACUCUCUUAUAACUUUGUGAGCCUGGAGGGAAGGGUAACCUCCAGAAGAAAAUGGAGGAUGGGGGGGCAUCCUGUAUUUUGAGGUGCUGGAGGUGGAGAUGCCCCGACUUCGCACAGUCUGCUCCUCAGAGACUCCAGCAGGCCCCUCUCUGCUGUUUAUGAAGUGGCGUCAAAGUCUGGGGCUGUGGUGGCGAGGCCUGCCAGAGCUGAUGAGGACACAGCAUUUGUGGGAAUUCUGUGACUCCAGAAGGCGAAAGGUCAGUUUCUUUUCAUUGACAGUGUUCAUGCUGCCCAAGAGUUUAUCUCUGAGAAUCUUGACUGGUUUCCAGGGUCAGGCUUCACCUCCAUUGUUAUCUGGAAACACAGGAACAGCCCUUUUGUCGUGCCAGACUAGGUCAGACAUUGG
rnacentral:lncRNA from 1 species